GGAGGGAUACCCUAUGUUCGGCUGAGGAAGUAGUCCCGGUCAGUUGGGGGGGUUAUCUUUCGCCAGAGCUCGGCUGGUGGGCGCAUUGGUCCCUGCAACGUUCACCCGGUAGGAUUUCUCAGAUACCGAUCCAGUCAUGUCUAAAGGAAAGGAUAUGGGCUCUGCCUUCAUCCAGACGCAGCAGCUCCACGCUGCCAUGGCCGACACUUUCCUGGAGCACAUGUGUCUUCUGGACAUCGACUCCGAGCCAGCCGUGGCUCGCAACACCGGAAUCAUCUGCACCAUCGGACCCGCCUCCCGAUCAGUGCCCAUGGCCAAGGAGAUGAUCAAAUCUGGGAUGAACAUUGCAAGAAUGAACUUCUCUCACGGAACUCAUGAGUAUCAUGCUGAGACCAUCAAGAAUGUCCGUGAAGCCACCGAGAGCUUCGGUUCCGGCACCAUCGAGUACAGACCAGUGGCCAUCGCUCUGGACACCAAGGGACCCGAAAUCAGGACUGGACUCAUCAAGGGCAGUGGCGAAGCUGAGGUCGAGCUGAAGAAGGGAGGUCACAUCAAGCUGACUCUGGACGACAAGUACAUGAACAACUGUGACGAGAAGCACCUGUGGUUGGACUACAAGAACAUCACCAAGAUCCUGAAGGUCGGAGCUCACGUCUACAUUGACGACGGCCUCAUGUCCCUGAAGGUCAAGGAAGUCGGCGCUGACUUCCUGGACUGUGAGAUUGAAAAUGGUGGUACUCUGGGCUCUAAGAAGGGUGUGAACUUGCCCGGUGCUGCUGUGGACCUGCCCGCUGUCUCUGAGAAGGACAUCCAGGAUCUGCAGUUCGGUGUGGAACAGGGAGUGGACAUGGUCUUCGCCUCCUUUAUCCGUAAGGCAGCUGAUGUACACGCCGUCAGGAAGGUGCUGGGAGAGAAGGGCAAACACAUCAAGAUCAUCUCCAAACUGGAGAACCACGAGGGCGUCCGCAGAUUCGAUGAGAUCCUGGAGGCUAGCGAUGGCAUCAUGGUUGCCCGCGGCGACCUGGGUAUUGAGAUCCCCACAGAGAAGGUUUUCAUCGCCCAGAAGAUGAUGACCGGACGCUGCAACAGGAUCGGCAAGCCCAUCACCUGCGCCACACAGAUGCUGGAGAGCAUGAUCAAGAAGCCCCGCCCUACUCGUGCUGAGGGUUCCGAUGUCGCCAACGCCGUUCUGGACGGUAACGACUGCAUCAUGCUGAGUGGUGAGACCGCCAAGGGAGACUACCCACUAGAGGCUGUCCGCACACAGCACAAGAUUGCUCGUGAGGCAGAGGCCGCCAUGUACCACAGGCAGAUGUUUGAGGAAAUCCGUCGUACCUCCCACCUGACCCGUGACCCCACUGAGUCCGUUGCCAUUGGCGCCGUCGAGGCUUCCUUCAAGUGUUGUGCCAGUGCCAUCAUCGUGCUCACCAAGACUGGCAGGUCCGCCCAUCUGCUGUCCAGGUACAGGCCCCGUGCCCCCAUCAUCGCUGUGACCCGCUGCGGCCAGACCGCCCGUCAGGCCCAUCUGUACCGCGGUAUCUACCCAGUGCUGUACACCAAGCCUGCCAACGAUGUCUGGGCCGAAGGAUGUCGACCUCCGCGUCAACUUCGCCUUGGAGAUGGGCAAACACCGUCACUUCUUCAAGUCUGGAGAUGUCAUCAUUGUCGUGACCGGAUGGCGUCCAGGCCCUGGUUACACCAACACCAUGCGUGUUGUGCUUGUUCCUUGAACAAACUCCAAAGGACAUUACUCCUCCCCCCUUUACCCAUCUCCUGUUCCUAUAACUCCUCCCCCCUUUACCCAUCUCCUGUUCCUAUAACUCCUCCCCCUUUCCCCAGCUCCUGUUCCUAUAACUCCUCCCCCUUUACCCAUCUCCUGUUCCUAUAACCCUCCCCCUUUACCCAUCUCCUGUUCCUAUAACCCCUCCCCCUUUCACCAUCUCCUGUUCCUAUAACU